rnacentral:rRNA from 1 species
CCUACGGGAGGCUGCAGUGGGGAAUAUUGCACAAUGGGGGAAACCCUGAUGCAGCGACGCCGCGUGAGUGAAGAAGUAUCUCGGUACGUAAAGCUCUAUCAGCAGGGAAGAAAAUGACGGUACCUGACUAAGAAGCCCCGGCUAACUACGUGCCAGCAGCCGCUGUAAUACGUAGGGGGCAAGCGUUAGCCGGAUUUACUGGGUGUAAAGGUAGCGUAGACGGCAGCACAAGUCUGGAGUGAAAUCCCGGGGCUUAAACCCGGAACUGCUUUGGAAACUGUGAGGCUGGAGUGCAGGAGUGGUAAGCGGAAGUCCAAGUGUAGCGGUGAAAUGCGUAGAUAUUAGGAGGAACACCGGUGGCGAAGGCGGCUUACUGGACUGUAACUGACGUUGAGGCUCGAAAGCGUGGGGAGCAAACAGGAUUAGAUACCCUUGUAGUC